rnacentral:misc_RNA from 1 species
GGGAAAUGUUAUUUACAUUAAAAGUUCUGGCAGCUGGCAACUGUGAUGAUGAGGUAGCUCUCCUAGAAGACUUUAUCAGUUAUGCAAGAGGUUUGCAUCAACCUUAAACAUCAAGGAGAAAUCAGAUAUAAAUACACUGAUAUUAAUGUAAUGAACAUUCCCUGGUCUUGUAUAAAACCCCACUUUAUGUUAUGUACAUGCUUGUUUUUAAAAGAUAACUUAGUUUUUGGAUAAGAUGCAUACAAUUUCUGAAUUGACUUGCAACAAUACAAAUUCUGAAUCUACUUUCAAUGAUCUGGCGAUGGCGACCGUACCCAAAGGUAGAUGGUAGAUUCAUUAUUGGAAUUAGUUGUUUUAUUUUCAAAAUAUAUUCCCUUCAUUGCGACUAUGAAUAUUCUGAACUUACUCUCCGUGAUCUGACGAUGGCGACCGUACCAAAAAGUAGAGGGUUUGUUCAUUAUUGGUAAUAAUUGUAUUGUUAUUAGUAUAUGCAUUUUAUACAAAAAAUAAUAGUUGUUUUGGGGAUGGCAAAAUUAGUUUUGUUAUUUAAUACUACAAAAUUGAUAACUGCCGAGAUGGAACUCUAUUCUGAAUGUAAUCUUCAGUGAACAUAGAAACCAAGAACCAUUGACUUUUCUUGAACACGUAGAGGAGGAAAAUGCACCAAGAAUCCAACGAUUUAGAAGAUGACCUGUUUUCAGAGUUCUCAGUGUCUGAGUUUCUGUCAAGAAAGAUUCUGGUUAUCAAGAUGACAUUCUUGAACUGGACGAGGUUGAGAAUGCCAAAAAAAGUCUAUAAAUCAAAAUGUGAGAUCAAGAUAUCAAUGUUAUAGACAUUGCACAGUUCAAGACGAAAAUCAGUUAUUUUGAAGGACCAUUUAGAAAUGCGAAACAAACAUUUGAAUGAUAUGUAAACCUGUUGUAAAGCUAGUUUUUAACUGUCGACAGUAGUUUUGUAACCUUGCUCAUGUUAUUCUUAAAUUUUUAAUCGUUUA